ACCACAUAUCCGCUACUAAUUGAGCAGCGCUGCAAACGUUCACUUUAAAAUCGGGUAAAAAUCGAUUUGUCACAUUUGGGUUGGUGGUUGCAGUAAAAGUGUUUUUAAUUCAAAUAUUAACAGGGAUCUAUUUACCCAGGACAUAUAUCUCAAUAAUUAUUAUUACAUUUUCAACUAAACUUUUCGUAUACCGUCCCAGGCAACUCUGGAGGCGAUCACUCUAUUGACUUUUUCAUGGUCAUACGCUAAUGUGUUUAUUUGAAGGUUUUGUUUUGUUCCUUCCUCAACUAUUCCCGAAAGUAAAGGGAAGACACAGCCGCUUGCACCAACUAGAUAGUCGUCGUGAGAAUGUUUUUUAUCGUGGAGAGCUAUUGUUGUCAGCCGGCGUAGCAGUUAACUUUGGCAUUGGCGCUAGCAGAAAAUACGAUAUUCUCACAAUAUCACAAUUUUUAUGAUUUAUUUUGCUCUCCUCGCUAAAAAUCGCUUUUGAUUUUCCUUUUUUUAAUUUAUUUGUUAUAUUGCACUAUUGAUUCGAUUAUGAAUGUCACAAUAUGAAAUUCUAUCCACAGACGGACUUGAGAUAUCUUAUUUAAUAACUCUAGGACACGCGUGUAAAUCGUUUGAUGAAUUAUCUACUUUUUUAAGUUUUUGCGUUAAACACGGUACACGGUAGAAGCAAAAACGUCAGAUAAAACCGAGAGAAUCUGCAAAGAUUGAUGAAUUUAAAUUUUCACUUUCGCUCCACCUUCGCAGCUUUUUGCUUCUGUUGGAAACAGUUGAAGACCUGACGGCGCUGCCAAUAAAUGAUUUGCUGAAUGACACGUGAACCAGUGUUGUAUGCCAGGGUACCAACCAAUAGCAAGAAUUGCAACACGUAUAUUUUCGAAUUGAUUUAGUUGAUUUGAUAUAAAUAUCACUUUUUAUCAAUAAUAAAUCGAUUCAAAGGAAUAGACUUCUUUAAGUUCAGGGAACAGUUUGACAAUUAGAAAAGUUCCAAUAAGAAAAGAGCAAAUCUGUGUGGUUGUUUUUUCUUCUGUCAUGCCAGCUGCCGAAAUAUUCAACGGACAAGAGUUAAGCGGUUAUCUCUUUUCCGCUCAGUAGUUAAAAAGUAUGUCUGAAGAGUACCAUAAAUGUUAGCAACACAACAUUUGGCAAAAUAAUUGCAGCGUGAAGUUAGCUGUUUCUCUACAACUAAAUACCGGUGAUGGUUAACGGCUAAAAUUACUUUUUUGCAACUUAACAAAAUAAAUAAUUAAUUUUAUAGAUUACACCUAAAUUUUAGCUUGUAACAUUUUCUCUAAAUUUAAUAAUGGUGCAGAAAACUUAUAAUUGUUUUGGACUAGUAAUAGCUAACAACUAAUAUGAAUUAUCUCAGAAUUGAACACACCUAUUACAAGGUCCCCUCGACAAAGUUGGACUUUUAUUUAUAUUUAACUUGCACGGAAACGGAAACGCUUAAGAGUUAUAUUUUUACACGACAGAGAUUCGUGGAAUUUAUUUUAUUUUACUUUUUAAUAUUUCAGUGGAAUUAUCGCUACAAAUUAAAUAAUAUUGUUUUUGCAGCCACGAUUGACUUAAUAUAUUAUUUUAAAUACACCUCCAAGUCUGAGAUUUUUGUUAUAGAAAAUUAUUAUAUAAUAUACUAGACGCAAAAACUUCCAAAGACGCAAAAAAUGUUAUUCCAAGGGUUCAACGCUGCUUUAUACCUCUUAACGGCGUUAUACCACUUAACUUCUGUGAAAAAGAGCGUGUGGCUUAAAAGCAAUAUUCUUUGCUUCUUAACUGCAGAUGAUUGGCCGUCUGGAAAUCCAGAUUUCAAUUCGUAAGACUAUAUUUUUCAAAGUUGGUCGAUACCCCAAUAAAAUCUGGAAUGUCUAAAAAAUUCUUGGUUGGAGCAGCGUCGUCAAUACCAAUAGAAACUGUGCGUGCUGCUAUUGAUCAAUGACCAUGAAUGAAUGAAGAGCCGUUAUGAAAACUAACGGUGAUAAUUGAAAAUCUUGUGCAUUGUAAAUUUAGUACAUAUAUGCAUUACUAAAUUAACAAUUAACAAUUAACUUUAUUAAAAAAUUUAUUAUAGUUUCAUUUUUAAAACGGCCUGAACUUGUAACAGUAGCUCCCAACGUUAAAGAUCGCAUGAUUUUACACAAAUAGCUGGCAAAUGAUGAAAUGCAAAAGUAAUGGUUUGAACCUUCUAACCCUAAGUAAAACUUAGAUAUUUAUUGGUUUUGGAUUUAAUUAUACUCGUUCAUUUUUAGAUGGACAUGCUCACACAUAAAAUCAGGCAAAGUGUAAAUGUAUGUAGGUGUAUCUCAAGGCUAAUUUAUGUUGUUUGGAAUAAAAAUUAACCUAAUUCCUCAUUUUUGAUAUAAAUACCCUAAUGGCUUAAGUUAUACGACAAAUGUUUACAUAUGCAUAUAGUUACGCAAGCGUACCGUACAUUUAAUAAGUAGACGUGUUAUGAAUGAAUUAGGAUUAUAUUACAAAAAAGCAAAAACAAAAUCCAUUUUUAUACAUGUGUGCAUGUAAUAGAAGUGCGUGUAUGGGUGCUUUGUAGUUUAUUAUGAUUCCAUUUCAAAAUUCUUAUUUGCACUGAAGAGUGUUAAAUAAAAUUAUGGAUUUUUAUUUGUAUAUACAUAUGUAUUUAUAUAAUUAAGUAUUUCUCCUACCUAAUUUCAUUUAUCUUCAAUUGCAGCAUUAAACAUCGUAAACGUAUCGGUGUACUCGAUUACAUCAUUGAAUAGAUUAAAUUGUUUCACUUAACAAUGAAAUUACUGUAUAUAAUAUUAAUAAAUAUAUUUAUAUUGGUAUAUAUAUAUAUAUAUGUAUCUAUGCAGUAAUGGAUAUGAAAGAGCGUGAUUGAUAGAUUAUGAUUCAUGGACUUUAGCGUCUCUCAAGUAUAGAAGGACGUCAGUUCCCGCUGUAAACUAAGAGGAAUCACGACAUUUCAAGCAAAUAUUUAUUUCUUUUUACAUAAAAUAAAAUUUUGCAAUACCUGCUUUAAA